GCUUUCAUAGCUUAGUUGGUAGAGCGUCGCACUAGUAAUGCGGAGGUCAUCAGUUCAACUCUGGUUGAAAGCA
rfam:Hanseniaspora valbyensis NRRL Y-1626 HANVAscaffold_5, whole genome shotgun sequence.